UUUAAAUAAAAUAUUUGUGGUUUCUUUUAUAGGUACAGGUCUUAACAUAUUUUCAAUUCUGGAUGCUUGCCUUCCUAAAGAUUGCAUAUAUAAAUUUGUAUAGUUAUUUUGUUCUAUUACAUGUGGAAUUAAUUCAGCUUUAUGUAUUAUUUCUCCUGUGGUCAUUUUAUAUGGUGUAGCCUUUGUUUCUAAUUUUAAUUCUGGUUUUGAUCCUUUUA
rnacentral:lncRNA from 1 species